UGCAGUCGAGCGAACAGAGAAGGAGCUUGCUCCUUCGACGUUAGCGGCGGACGGGUGAGUAACACGUGGGCAACCUACCUUAUAGUUUGGGAUAACUCCGGGAAACCGGGGCUAAUACCGAAUAAUCUGUUUCACCUCAUGGUGAAACACUGAAAGACGGUUUCGGCUGUCGCUAUAGGAUGGGCCCGCGGCGCAUUAGCUAGUUGGUGAGGUAACGGCUCACCAAGGCGACGAUGCGUAGCCGACCUGAGAGGGUGAUCGGCCACACUGGGACUGAGACACGGCCCAGACUCCUACGGGAGGCAGCAGUAGGGAAUCUUCCACAAUGGGCGAAAGCCUGAUGGAGCAACGCCGCGUGAGUGAAGAAGGAUUUCGGUUCGUAAAACUCUGUUGUAAGGGAAGAACAAGUACAGUAGUAACUGGCUGUACCUUGACGGUACCUUAUUAGAAAGCCACGGCUAACUACGUGCCAGCAGCCGCGGUAAUACGUAGGUGGCAAGCGUUGUCCGGAAUUAUUGGGCGUAAAGCGCGCGCAGGUGGUUUCUUAAGUCUGAUGUGAAAGCCCACGGCUCAACCGUGGAGGGUCAUUGGAAACUGGGAGACUUGAGUGCAGAAGAGGAUAGUGGAAUUCCAAGUGUAGCGGUGAAAUGCGUAGAGAUUUGGAGGAACACCAGUGGCGAAGGCGACUAUCUGGUCUGUAACUGACACUGAGGCGCGAAAGCGUGGGG
rnacentral:rRNA from 1 species